AGUAGGGAAUCUUCCGCAAUGGACGAAAGUCUGACGGAGCAACGCCGCGUGAGUGAUGAAGGCUUUCGGGUCGUAAAACUCUGUUGUUAGGGAAGAACAAGUACGAGAGUAACUGCUCGUACCUUGACGGUACCUAACCAGAAAGCCACGGCUAACUACGUGCCAGCAGCCGCGGUAAUAC
rnacentral:rRNA from 1 species